CGGGUGCGCCCGAGCCAGGGAGCUCGGCGCCACGCCAGGCGCUCGCCCCGACCCCGCCUUCCUCCGCCGCCUCGCCGCGUCUGCCGGCCUCACCGGAGAUCACCGCCGUCGCGACCAGGUCACGUCGCUGCACCUGGCUUCUCCUCCUCCCUCUCCUUCCUUCCUCCCUCUCACCAUCUCUCUCCCCCUCUCAUUGCAGCGCCGCCAUGGCCGCCCCGAGCUUCGCCGGCAGCCGCGCCGCCCGCCUCCGGCCACGACUCCGGUGGGAUCCAGCCACCCCUGCCCGGAUCCGCAUCCUCUGCUCCGCCGUGCCCCCGAUCUGGCCACCACCAAGCCUCCCGCACUGAUCCGCCCGUCCACCGGCCCCCCCCUGCUCGAUUCGGUUUGACGAGCGAAGUUAAAUGUCUUGUGGUGUCGAGGAUAAUAGUUUUUUUUAGCUCCCGCAUGGUGAGUUGAGGAGGUUCUAUUUAGUUUUUGAUCUGUCGUGAACGAUUCCUGUAUGGAAUUGGUGGAUCUUUGUGAAAAUUCGUACAUAUCUCAGUGCUCUGCGUUCUACUUGUUACUGUCGCUUUAGUCCUUUCAUUCUUUGAUCCUUAAACGUGAGUUGCUGCGGUGAAUUAGCAGCUCAUUGGUGGAUCCAUGAAUCGGCGGUGAUGAAUUAGCAACUUGAUCUCUGAACUUCAGGUGAUUUGUUGCGGCUGGUUCCGGGUUCUGUGCUCUUCUGAAGGUGAACACAUGCCAGGAAGGAAAGCUUGUCUGGUCGUGGCGCGGCAUAGGAUGGAUUGAUGGUUGCUUCCUUUCGAACCACACAAACCCCUUCUAGCAUGGUCGAGAUGAUCAAAAUGGAGGAGGGUAUCAGUAUGUGGCUGUUUGUUUCCUUGGUACUGAAAUGCUAUCAAGCAGCUGGCUUCAGUGGCGGAGCUUCCUGUAGACCAACAGACACCACAAGACAUCAUAAUGACCUGAAGCUCCGUUGGUGAGGAGCAUUGCCGCUGCUGCAGGUUAGGGAGGAGGGUCGGGGCAACCACGAAUUACGUCCUGCACUGCUUCAACACCGGCCUAUUCUAGCAUGAAUCUUCUACCGUAAGGAUUUGAUGCAGCAAGGGCCAUUUGUUUGACAGAAAUAGAGUUGUUACCGCAAGAGGUACAAAUCAAGGACCGAGGAGGGACAAAUUUUACUACAGAUCUGCGCCAUUGAUUUGGUCAUCUCUGUCAGUAGCAAGUUGCAUAAGAAAGGGUGGUGGCGUUGCAGAGGCGUGAAUGAAAAAGUUAGUCUGGGAGACAGUUAUAAUUGUGAGUCCCUCAAUUAUAGAGCGGAUCCAGGUGAAAGAUGUAGGUGGUGUGUGGAUUGAACUCUAGAUCAGGAACCUGCAGUACUAGAUGGACGAUAACUAUGCUUACAAUUGUUGAUCGAGAACUGUGAGGUAUGUGUCUGUCCCUCUUCCACCCAUAUCAACAUGUAAUUUUGUAAGAAGCUAAUUUAGUAUACCAAGAACAUCAUGUUUUAGACACAGACUGCAGAUCGAUGUACUUUGUCCGUCUUUCCUUCACCAAAGCAUGCGUUGUGAGAUCAUGAUUACUACCAGGUACAACAUUGCAAUUUAUUUUCCAGAAUGUUCCUUGAACACACUCCCAAGUUCCCAACCAUCAGCAAUUAUAGUCUCCUCAAUUCGGAUGCAUAGGAAUGCAACUUUUAUCCGAGAAUGUGCAACAAAAGCAUGUUGUUUGUAUCUGUUGACCAUUGAAAUCCCAAGACCAAUGCAUGGAGAAGUAGCUUGUGAACCCUAAGUUAUUUAUUGAGAAAUUAAACCACAUAUUUGACUACUUAUUGAUCUCCGAGCUCUAUAAAUUAUCCUUAAUCUGUUUUUUGUGAAGACAGAGGAUGAGAAAGAAACAGUAUCCAGUACCGUGUACUAUACUAACAUUGUAAUUAUGGGUCCGUGCCACCUAUUUCUAUUUUGAAGCUGUUCUUUUAGGAACAGAUGAUUACACAUGAAGUAAUGGUAUCCAUGACUAUGUACUAUAGUAACAUUAGAAAUUAUGGGUCCAUGCUAGGUAUUUAUAUUUUGAAGCAAUUCCGUCAGGAACAGAUGAUCACACAAUAUCUUUUGAUAAAUCCUUUUUACCUAGCUUCUGAUUUCUAUUACCAGAAACAGAUUGUCUGUUCUUACAGGAAACAUCUACAAACAGCCGUUAUUCGUUAUUGUGCUCUUCCAUGUUGCGCCGCUGACAAGAGGAUGGAGGGUUUUAGUCGUCGUCGCGGAGAAGAAGGGUAACCACCAAGCAGGAGAGAGGGAGGAAAGCUAUGCCCGUUCGCUGGAAGCCAGGCAACCCGGCGCCAUCGUUGAGGAGAGCGAGGAGGGGCUAGAUUACGCCGCCACAGAGGUGAGCUACGAGGGGCUGCGGCGUCCCUGCAUAGGAGGGGGGAGAGAAGCCGCCACCGCACCACGUGAUUCUGCUUGAAACUCCUCGGACCUUGCACCAGGCUCAAGCGUGAGUCCACUGAUCUUCAUAUUCAGGCUGCAACAUUUUCUGAAUUUUAAGUUUGGCUGAAGAUGCUCUUACUCGUACACUAGAUCAACUGUACAAAUUGCUCUAAAUGUACUGCUUGACUGCUUGUCUUUAUUUUAAUCAUUUUCUUUGGCAGCUCUAAAUUUUUAGUUUGGCUCAUUGUCUUUCUCUGGUGUACAAAUGCUUUCAAUUUUUAGUUUGGCUCGUUGUCUCUUCAGAAAUCUGAAGAAAACUAUACUGUGGAAGGAUGGCAAUAUUAUUUGCUGCUUCUCGUCAAUUGUUCGGUUCA